rnacentral:rRNA from 1 species
AGAGAGAGACAUGCGCGCAUAUCAAUAAGCGGAGGAAAAGAAACUAACAAGGAUUCCCUUAGUAACGGCGAGUGAAGCGGGAAGAGCUCAAAUUUGAAAUCUUCAAGGUUUUACCUUGACGAAUUGUAGUUUAAAGAAGUGUUUUCUGCUGAAGUUUUGGUAAAAGUUCUUUGGAAUAGGACAUCAUAGAGGGUGAGAAUCCCGUAUUUGACCAUUAUUUUCAGCUUUGUGAUACACUUUCAAAGAGUCGGAUUGUUUGGGAAUGCAGUCCAAAAUGGGUGGUAAAUUUCAUCUAAAGCUAAAUAUUGGCGAGAGACCGAUAGCGAACAAGUACCGUGAGGGAAAGAUGAAAAGAACUUUGAAAAGAGAGUUAAACAGUACGUGAAAUUGUCAAAAGGGAAGCGUUUGACACCAGUGUUGUUUUCCUCGAAAAUCAAUUAAAAAUGGCUCGAUUUUGUAUUGUUGAGACCUUAAAAGCUCACUGUACAUUUUUCGUGUCCUUUUUUAAUGCACUUUUCGUUUAACAAGUCAACAUCAGUUUCUUUUGUUGUAAAAGGGUCAUUGGAAGGUGGCUUUCUUUUCGGAGAAAGUGUUUAUAGCCUUUGGCCUCUGCAAUCGGAGAGACUGAGGUCUGCAGCGUAGACUCUUCGGGGUUAGAUACAUUUGUGCUAAGUUAUAGCUUUUUAUAGACAACUUGUUGACUAUAAUUAGUCUUGUAGCUUACUCGCUUAUGCUAUUUUACCUACGCUUAGGAUGUUGAGUCGUAGAGCACGCA